rnacentral:rRNA from 1 species
CGGGAAUCUUCCGCAAUGGACGCAAGUCUGACGGAGCAACGCCGCGUGAGCGAAGAAGGUUUUCGGAUCGUAAAGCUCUGUUGUGAGGGAAGAACAAGGAUAGGAGUCACUGUCUAUCCCUUGACGGUACCUCACCAGAAAGCCACGGCUAACUACGUGCCAGCAGCCGCGGUAAUACGUAGGUGGCAAGCGUUGUCCGGAAUUAUUGGGCGUAAAGCGCGCGCAGGCGGUCCUUUAAGUCUGAUGUGAAAUCUCGUGGCUUAACCACGAGCGGUCAUUGGAAACUGGGGGACUUGAGUACAGAAGAGGAGAGUGGAAUUCCACGUGUAGCGGUGAAAUGCGUAGAGAUGUGGAGGAACACCAGUGGCGAAGGCGGCUCUCUGGUCUGUGACUGACGCUGAGGUGCGAAAGCGUGGGUAGCGAAC